GACGAACGCUGGCGGCGUGCUUAACACAUGCAAGUCGAACGGUGAAGCGCCUUCCUUUUUGGUGGGUGUGGAUGAGUGGCGAACGGGUGAGUAACACGUGAGUAACCUGCCCCCUUCUUCUGGAUAACCGCAUGAAAGUGUGGCUAAUACGGGAUAUUCUGGGUCUGUCGCAUGAUGGGUCUGGGAAAGAUAUUGUUUCGGUGGGGGAUGGGCUCGCGGCCUAUCAGCUUGUUGGUGGGGUGAUGGCCUACCAAGGCGGUGACGGGUAGCCGGCCUGAGAGGGUGGACGGUCACACUGGGACUGAGACACGGCCCAGACUCCUACGGGAGGCAGCAGUGGGGAAUAUUGCACAAUGGGCGCAAGCCUGAUGCAGCGACGCCGCGUGAGGGAUGGAGGCCUUCGGGUUGUGAACCUCUUUCGCCAGUGAAGCAGGCCUGCCUCGUUUGUGGGUGGGUUGACGGUAGCUGGAUAAGAAGCGCCAGCUAACUACGUG
rnacentral:rRNA from 1 species